UAGAAUAUAGUGAAAUGUGGUGGCAGGAAGAAUUUUGAAUUCUUAAGGGUAGGUUCAAUUCCUAUAAUUCUAG
rnacentral:tRNA from 1 species